CAGAAAAUAGUUUAACUUUAGAAUCCUGGCUUUGGGAGCCAGGGGUGGGAGUUAAAACCUCCUUUUUCUGG
rnacentral:tRNA from 1 species